rnacentral:rRNA from 1 species
CCCUUAGAUGUUCUGGGCUGCACGUGCGCUACACUGAUGCACUCAACGAGUUUACGACCUUGCCCGAUAGGGUUGGGUAAUCUUUUUAAAAUGCAUCGUGAUGGGGAUAGAUUAUUGCAAUUAUUAAUCUUCAACGAGGAAUUCCUAGUAAGCGCGAGUCAUCAGCUCGUGCUGAUUACGUCCCUGCCCUUUGUACACACCGCCCGUCGCUCCUACCGAUUGAGUGCUCAGGUGAAUAAUUCGGACUGCAGCAAUGUUUGGAUCCCGAACGUUGCAGCGGAAAGUUUAGUGAACCUUAUCACUUAGAGGAAGGAGAAGUCGUAACA